GACGAACGCUGGCGGCGUGCUUAACACAUGCAAGUCGAACGGAAAGGCCCUGCUUUUGUGGGGUGCUCGAGUGGCGAACGGGUGAGUAACACGUGAGUAACCUGCCCUUGACUUUGGGAUAACUUCAGGAAACUGGGGCUAAUACCGGAUAGGAGCUCCUGCUGCAUGGUGGGGGUUGGAAAGUUUCGGCGGUUGGGGAUGGACUCGCGGCUUAUCAGCUUGUUGGUGGGGUAGUGGCUUACCAAGGCUUUGACGGGUGGCCGGCCUGAGAGGGUGACCGGCCACAUUGGGCCUGAGAUACGGCCCAGACUCCUACGGGAGGCAGCAGUGGGGAAUAUUGCACAAUGGGCGGAAGCCUGAUGCAGCAACGCCGCGUGCGGGAUGACGGCCUUCGGGUUGUAAACCGCUUUCGCCUGUGACGAAGCGUGAGUGACGGUAAUGGGUAAAGAAGCACCGGCUAACUACGUG
rnacentral:rRNA from 1 species